GUGUGGUUCCUGGAAAGGGAACUCAAGGGGCUGGUCAAAUGCCAGGGAUCAAAAGGGCCUAGGGCAAGGUGAACUUGAAAUAGAGUUGGGGAGGGAAAAUGAGGAAAUGUGAGAGGAUAGAUCACGGAAGGAGAGACAGAGAUUCUAAAGGCCAAAUUCAAUGACCCAAGGCCAAGAGAAUCAAGUCAGUUAGCUCCUUGCUUCCACUGGGCAGCACUUCCAUCUGCCAACAUGUCCUCCCAUGGAAUACUUUUCUUUCUCUAACUUCUUUUUCUUCUUUGAUGUUCUUUGAAUGUUCUUUCCUCCUUAUCUGAACUAAAUAUAAAUAGCACCAUGUCCUUCAACGGUUGUCUACACAUCAUCAAUUUCCCCUUGUGGUUCCAGGAAUCUUUAAAUGGGACCUUCCCCACUCCCCAACCACCCUGGGCUGCUGUAGCCUCGCCCACAGCUAACCUUUCCUAAAUAUCUGCUGAGCUCUCACUGCAGGCACAGCGUCAUAAAGUCGUUCGUCAUUCGAUAGAUCAAAUCCAUACCACCUGGGGCUGUGAAACUGAAAAUAGCCCAGUCCCCAGCCAAAGAAAGCUUAAAGGCAAACUAGAAUAUUUCAGGAACUUGAGUUUAUUUUUAGGAGUUGCUGGGUUGCCCAGAAAGGAGUUUCUUUUAAAGGCUUUGAAUGUUAAAAUAACACAUAAUAAAGAGGACACCCAACUAAAAUCCCCAAUCCUGAAACCUGAUCCUGAAUACCUCUAUUUGACCAGCUCUUCUUCAUUCCAUUCCCUCCUGGGAGAGAAGAAAUCUUCAGCCAGCUGGUGUUAUAAUUCUGUCCUGAUUUCUUGGGAAAGUCAUAGAGUUUGUAAAAUACCAAUUUGAUCUCUUACUGGGAGAGGACUGGGUUUCCACGAAGAACAACUUUCCUGGGGCUAAGCGGCUCUGUGCACUAAGUGGAAUCUUUGCCUGGUAGCAUGGUGUGAACGAAAGAGCACUAGACCAUGAGACAGGAGCUUUACGUGUUUAUUGGGCAUCUCGGGUGAUGUGCGGUGACAAGUAGUAGUUUGCUAAUAACAAUCACCAGGCCCUAUACAGCACUUAACACAUCUACAUAUGUUAAGACAGUUAAUGUUUAUAAAAUGGCAUGGAAGUGUAUACCUUUGGGACUUUGGGUUGUGUAAUGUUAGGGAGAAAUAUACCAGCUCUUCCAACACACACGACAGCCUCUUAGUGGCAAGCUCCCAAGUACAAUGGGUCGGAAAAGUAGCCGUCUUCCUAGCCUGUGGGCAUCUUGUUUUCCUGCAUCUGGGAGUUUGCUUGGAGAUGAGAAAGAGAGACUUAAUGUCCAUAAGUGAAACCGGGAGAUAUGCAAGCAUAAGAAAAAUGGAGUUGGGAAGGCCAGCAAUUUUUCUUGAAUUCCACCAGGUGUUUCAAAGUAGUCUUCGGGUUUCUUGCUGUGUCUUGAAGAGACUGGACUUGGAUGAGGAGGUGAAGGGAAAGUGGAGUAGGAUGAUGGAAAGAGGAGCAGACCUCAGAAAACCCAGGGUUUGGUCCUGGUUCUGCGCUACGUGGAAAUGGCUUUGGAGAAGUCACCGGAUCUGUCUGAGGCUGUUUCUCCCACAGUAAAGUGAGAGGGUUGGAGAGGAUCUCCUGGCCCCAACGGCUCUGGUGUUCUAUGACCUGCUGCCAUGUAAACAACACAAACAUUGAAAUGGGGCUUAAACCUCACCUUCCAUUUGCAACCAGGUUUUCCGUUGACUCCUAAGGCUUCUAGAUCUAAUCCUCUCUAUUAAGUAUUAGAGUCAUUAGGAAAAAGGGCACAGCAUGUCACUAUACGUAGACAGAUCCUGAAUGAACCACUGGGGGCCUCAGAGAGGGCCAGGGAAGAGACAGUGGGCUGGAGGAUGGGUCACCAUGGGGCACGGAACCCGUGGAUUCCGAGCACUAGUCCUGCCUCCCUCAUCGCUGCUGCCCCUUCCUCUGUGCAGUAAGUGCCUCAUCUUUUUGGUAGACAGCACUGUGUCAGCAUAUGGGCCCUGAAGCUGAUGCUGGAGAGUUCUAGAGGCUCAUAGACCUAGUCCAAGCCAAUGAAAAUCAUCACAGCCACACAAUGGAAGACCAGUGGCUGUCAGCCCCCAACUUGGCUAAUCCUUUUUGGGGUUUAAGAAAGUUAUGGCUUCUUUUCCUCAGAAAAUCUUGUUUUACCCGCACAAUUUUGUGUAUAAUUUCAGGGGCUUCCAGACCCCCUUGAGCCCAUCAAUCUGCUCCUUAGAGGCCACAGGAGCACAGACUGAAUCCCUGAUGAGGGUCAAGAGCUGGGGGUGAGAGGCAUGGUGUUUACUUACCGCAGACUGAAACCUCUCUGCAGAUUUCAGAUGGGAUAACCAGGGGGAAAAUAUUAAACCUUAGUCAGGUUCUAGAAGAGUGUUUUCAAAUCAAUAUUGCUCUUUAUAGUUUCUAGAAUGUGUGAGCAAAAUCAGAACCAAGGUAACAGCAAUUACGGUACUACACUGACAAUAAUACAUUAUACAAAGCAAGUUCUUGUAAACUUUAGAAACAGGAAGUACUUGCCAUGGUGACUACACUACUACUUUGCCUAUUCAGCAUGGCUUCAAAGUGUACAGCAAUGAUGGUAUUUGGCACUUGGAAAAUCUGAAUAUACACAUAAAUAUAGGCAGGUCGCCUGUCUCGUAAGGUCAUUACCAAAAGUGAAGAGAAAAUGCAGGCUUGGGGCUUGAAGAGCCCUGAUAUGGCAUAUGUCUCUUAUAGUGAAUAGCAGGACAUAGCUAUUAGCUAUAUGCCCUCAGAUUUGGCUUAACUAGAAGUUAAGCAGAAAACAUCCCCUUAGAGAGCACAGUUCUAGGAGCAUCUAGUUACCCAGCAGAGUUACCUAGUUAGAUUCAGAGACAGCUUCGUUGAGCAGGAGAAACAAAAUUUCCUGGGCUAGUGAGAUCCAUGAGAGGGAAGACAGGGUUAGGGUUAGUCUUGUUCAACUCGGAGAAAGGCACAUAGUAGGUGCUCAAAAAAUAGGUCAAACGAGUGAACAUCCAUCCAGUCUGCUCUUGGUCCAGUGUCCCUUUGUCAAAACAGGCAGGAAGAUUUUGCCUCUUCAGCUUCUGGUUCUUUUCUCAUUCUCUGUCGAGUUCUCUGUGGAGACAUUGCUCUCCUACCUGAAAAAUUGCCCAAAGGUCCUGUGCUUUGGUUAAUAUGUAUUUUCUACUAAACUAUAACUCUUCUUCAUCAUUAAUAAUUUGGUGCUUGGUUGGCCUUGGUCUUCUUUAGAUCCAAACUGAUGCCAUCUGUUCUCUUUUGAGCAGAAAGAGAGAAGCAUCUCUUAUUUUAACCACAAACAACUGAAGUUCCAGAUAGAUAAUGCCCGGAAGACAUCAGCAUAAUUGCACCAGUGGGCACCAGCCACUGAAGGCCACAUCCUGAACUCUGCUCCUCCAGCCUUGAUCAUAAGACGAACUGCACCACCUCUGAGUGCACCGACCUGGAGGUGCUCCCGCUCCCACCUGAUGUGGAGCCCCCUUUCCCAGCAGCCUGCCAAGUGUCUCCAGCCACCGCUUCUCUUGAGGACCCUAAGAUCCUCAGGAUGAGUAUCUCUGACACGUCCAUUGGUCCUUUGGAUCUGUCACGGGCUAAAAGGCUUCUUUGCCCUCCCUUUUCCCAGAGGUGUGGCAACUUGAGAGAUCUGGCUGGCGGGUUUUAACUAGUCUAGUCCGUCCCCCAUGGGUGGAGCACCAGCUCAACACGCACGUCGCAGGGCCUGCAGGUGUACUCUUAGCAUCUGUCACAUUAAAACGACGGGAACCUUCAAAUACCACAGAAAACCGGAGAUUUGGCUGAUCGGAGCCUUUUUGCAGAGAAGAUACUCAAAAUCGAGGAAGGGAGAUGACAUCUGAUGGGCCCCAGGAGAAGUUGGCUGCUACCUUCCCUCUGUUCCUUCUUCAGUCUUUCCUGCUCUUGCCCCUCUUGAUGAAGAUAACUGAGAAGAGAAGCUGGGGCGUAAGGUAGCAGCCUUUGGGGUAAAUGCAGUUCGUUCAGGCUUGGGGCCACUGCUGCUGCUUUGUACUUUUGGCUUUCUCUAAGUUCAGAUCUGUCAGUAUCUUUCCAAGCUACUCAUCUGAGCUUCUGGGACCUCAGAAAAGCACAGUAUAGUAACAAUGAUAAGGGCCAGGUUUGAACAUGGAAUUAUCAUAUUCGGCAGCUCAAAACUUCCCUGCUCUCCUUCAAUCUUUGUGCUGCCCACUCCAACCCCCAUAGGUCCUCCUGACAGCAAGAGAGCAACUGUGGAACCACCACUCAGAAAUUCCAGAUGGAGAGAUGGAGGGUCGUAGUGAGACCCUGAAGCGGGUGUGACACCACCUCACUCCUCUUUCCGUCACCCUGCUGUUAAAGGAAUAUUACUCCACAGCUGCUUUUCUCCUUCUAUUUCCUUCUUGCUCUCUCUCUAGUCAAGUGGAUGGAGAGGUUAUUCCUCACUGCCUUGGGGGGGAUGUGGGGGUGUGAAAAACACCACCAGCCUGUGUUCUAGACUCUCAGCUCUUGGGUAUCAAAAUGUCUAAAAUCUAAGGGGAAUUUAGAGGAUUUUCAGAACAGUUAGAAGAUUCACAGAGGCCUGACACCCCUCCUAAAGCAGCACCGCCUUCACUCCUGAUGCUGCUUUGUCUGUCUAUAGAGCAUCUGUCUCUACUGAUGUUGCAGGCACGGCUGUUGGUUUGUCGUCCGUCUCCCCCCCAUAGAAGAGCACAGAUAAGCACAAUGGAAUUCAGACCACGCAACGCUGUCUGAAGGGAAGGGAUGCUCACAUGCGACUUUGAGAAGCACUAUUUUUACCAACAUCAUCUGCUCAUCGAAUUGUUACUAUCGAGUCUACCAGCUCUGGAAAAGUCCUCACCGACCAGGUGGCAAAUGUAUCGAUUACCGUCUGGUGGGAAGUUGUAGGCCAGCCUUGUGGACAUUCCCAGAGGAUGGGAAGGAUAUGGCUGGAGCCUGAAGGACCUUCACCAUCUCAGCAAUGAUGCUGAAUGUCCAGCUUGGAGGAAAACAGCUGAUCCCCUUGCCCCGAGAACAGAUCUGAUACUGGUCCAGCUAUUGGUAUAUUGUGCUAACUAUGAAGGCCAUGGACUUAUUUUUUUUUUUAACUAUUUUUUUUAAACCAUUCACUGAUUUAUUUGAAUAGGUAAUACACACACAAACACACAUACACAGAGUACAAAAUUCACAAAGAAUACACUGAAAGGAUAUAGAAUGACAAGUGUCCUCCUACCCCUGCUACCCGGUCACUCAGUCCCCUUCCCCAGAGGCAAUCAGAGUUAUCAGAGUUUAUUUUAGGUCUAAGAAAGUUAAGGAACUCAGACCUAACAUGAAAUUAGUAAGUUAGGUAAUGUCGUGGUUAGGGCCAAGGGUGUGGAGUCAGGCAGACCGCGUUCAAAGCCAGGCGGCACCACCUCCUGACCCACAGUCCAGACAGCAAUAGGACUUAUCUCACUGGGUUGUUGAGAUAAUUAAAUGAGCAAACCCACUGAAGUCUUAGCACAGUCCCUGGCACAGGUUGACUCUCGGUAAAUGUCAGCUAUUAUUAGCUAUCUGGAGAUUGCAUGUUGUGGAGGAAGGAGGAAGGGAAGGGUGGGGCACAUUGAAUACUUUCUGGGGAAAGCCUUAAGUCUUUCUUGCUCAAAGUGUGGUCACUAGAAGUCCCUGGUUGCUGGUUAGAAACGCAGGGUCCCAGGCCCGUCCCCAGACCUGCGGAAUCAGAAGCUGCGUUCUGACAAGCUCUCCAGCGCCCCACGUGCACGGUAGAGUAUGAGAAGCCCUAUCCUACACAAGCUCAGGAAUCCUGGAGGGAAUGGCUGUAGAUUUCCUGCCUCUGGGGAGAUGGGGAUGCUGUUUCUUCGCCUUCAGACUUGAGCCCUUAGACUUCUCAUGAUGAAAGCUCAAGACAGAAACACUUUUAAAGGAAAAGCCUUUUUCCUCCCAUUCCCCAGCUUUCUAUUCCACAUCUGAUUUUCCAAACCCAAUAACCUAUGACCUCCAAACAACCAGAAUGUGCCCUCUUUUGUCCUGUAGCUUGAUGGUAACCCAAUAGAUGUCUUGGGGGCAGGGUGGCAUGCUGUUUUUAAAGUGAUACAAGAGACACAGUGGAACCUGCCCAACAAGCAGCCGGGCUGCCAGGAUGCCAACUGGGACAGCAAGGCCCUGGCAGUGGGGGGCUGCGUUAGUUAGAACUUGUCAUUAGAAAUAAGGUCUGCAUGGGGUGAGGACUGGGAGGCUGGAGGGGCUGAUGGGGUGACAAUUGCUGCUGUUUUCCACUUGUUCCAAACUGGUAGACCUCGGCUGGGAAUACGUGGCAUACAGGAAGCAACCCUUUCCUCUAAAAUAGAAUUACAUACUACAAUGGUAGAUAUGUGUCAUUUCACAUUUGUCAAAACUCAUAAAAUGUACAACCCCAAGAGUGAAUCCUGAUGCAAAGAUAUGGACUCUGGGUGAUAACGACGUGUCAGUGUGGGUUCAUCGAUUGUAACAAAUGCACCCCUGUGCAUGUGUGGGGGCAGGGGUAUGGGAGCUCUGUACCUCCCACUCAAUUUUGCUGUGAACCUAAAACUCCUCUAAAAAAGAAAGUCUAUUUUUUAAAAAAGAGAGAGCAAAUAACAGUUUGUCCCUGGAUCAGCUGUAGAAGAGAAAAGAAAACCAAGGCUGAGGCCUGGGGCAGCACGCUUUUUAAAAAUCAAAAUUACAGCAGAAAUAACUUAGAGCUGGGCUGUCCAAUCUAGAAGACUUUAGCCACAUGUGGCUAGUGACCGCUUGAAAUGUGUCUAAUGCAACUAGGAAGGAAUUGAAUUUUAAAUUUUAUUGAAUUUUAGUUAAUUUACAUAUAAGCUUUAAAACUGACAUGUGUGAUUCAAUUAGGAAAAACUUUAAGUAGGUUUGGAACAAUUUGGGUAUGUGAAUCUACUCUUUCAGCUGUUAAUUUCAUGAAACUCAAUACAGAUCAAGUAUUUCCACUAAAUAGUGAGCGUCCAAAUUGAGAUAUGCUGUAAG